rnacentral:rRNA from 1 species
GACAGAGGGGGCAAGCGUUACUCGGAAUUACUGGGCGUAAAGCGUGCGUAGGUGGUUCGUUAAGUCUGAUGUGAAAGCCCUGGGCUCAACCUGGGAAUGGCAUUGGAAACUGGCGACCUAGAGUGCGGUAGAGGGUAGUGGAAUUCCGCGUGUAGCAGUGAAAUGCGUAGAGAUGCGGAGGAACACCGAUGGCGAAGGCAGCCCCCUGGGCUGACACUGACGCUCAGGCACGAAAGCGUGGGGAGCAAACAGG